rnacentral:rRNA from 1 species
GUAGUCCACGCCGUAAACUAUGGAUACUAGCUGUUAUAGGUAUCGACCCCUGUAGUAGCGAAGCUAACGCGUUAAGUAUCCCGCCUGUGGAGUACGGUCGCAAGACUAAAACAUAAAGGAAUUGACGGGGACCCGCACAAGCGGUGGAGCGUGUUGUUUAAUUCGAUGGUAAGCGAAGAACCUUACCCAGGUUUGACAUCCCGAGAAGGACUUCGAAAGAAGUUUGUGCCUUUUGGAACUCGGUGACAGGUGCUGCAUGGCCGUCGUCAGCUCGUGUCGUGAGAUGUUUGGUUAAGUCCAUCAACGAGCGCAACCCUUAUAGUCUGUUGUAUUUUUCAGGCUAGACUGCCCUGGCAACAGGGA